AUUGAACGCUGGCGGCAGGCCUAACACAUGCAAGUCGAACGGUAACAGGAAACAGUUUGCUGUUUCGCUGACGAGUGGCGGACGGGUGAGAAAUGACUGAGCAACUGCCUGAUGGAGGGGGAUAACUACUGGAAACGGUAGCUAAUACCGCAUAACGUCGCAAGACCAAAGAGGGGGAGCAUCGGGCCUCGUGCCAUCGGAUGUGCCCAGAUGGGAUUAGCUAGUCGGGGGGGUAACGGUUCAACUAGUCGACGAUCCCUAGCUGGUCUGAGAGGAUGAGGGGCCACACUGGAACUGGGCCACGGUCCUUGCUCCUACGGGAGGCAGCAGUCGCGAAUAUUGCGCAGUGGGCGCAAGCCUUAUGCAGCCAUGCCGCGUCUAUGACGAAGACCUUCGGUUUGUAAAGUACGUUCAGCGGUGAGGAAGGGAGUACGCUUAAUACCUUUCCUCAUUGACGUUACCCGCUGAAGAAGCACCGGCUAACUCCGUG
rnacentral:rRNA from 1 species